rnacentral:misc_RNA from 1 species
UCUCCGUAGGUGAACCUGCGGAGGGAUCAUUACUGAGUGAGGGCCUCCGGUCCGACCUCCAACCCUUUGUGAACCAACACUGUUGCUUCGGGGGCGACCCUGCCUUUCGGACAGUGCGCCCCCGGAGGAUAUCAAAACGCUGCAUCUUUGCGUCGGAGUUAAAGUAAAUUAAACAAAACUUUCAACAACGGAUCUCUUGGUUCCAGCAUCGAUGAAGAACGCAGC